CCAGGGGCUCUAAGCUUUGGGGGUGAGCCAGCUCCUGCAUCUUCUUCACCAUCUGCCCACAGUAUCUACACAAAGUAAGUCCUGUGCAGAGCGCCCCCUGUGGCUGAGCAGUGCUCAACAACACUCAAGUCCUGCCCUGCCUUCUCAGGAAUCUCGUCCACUGUGUACUCUGUAUUAGUUCCUUUUCCAGGUGCUGUGAUCAAAUGUUGUCACAAAAGCCACCCGAGGGAGAAAGGGUGUAUUACAACUCAUCGUUCAAGGGUACAAGCUAUCAUGCCAUGGAAGGGAUGGUGUCAGCAAGAGAGGGCGGCGGUCACAUGGCAUCCACAGUCAGGAGAGAGAUGAACACUGGUGCUCAGUCCACUUUCUCCUUUUUCUUAGGACUGGGUCUUCCCAUCUCAAUGAACAGAAUCUAGAUAAUCCCUCCAAGGCAGGCCCAGAGCCUAAUACAGUCUUCUAGGUGAUUUUAGAUCCUAUCAAGUUCAUAAUCCAUAUUAACCAACACGGAUUUCAACGAGAGCCUGGCCAGACACCAUGAGAGCCAGGGAGGGCCAGCUUAGCUGUGCCCAGGGAGCUCCAGGAAGGGGCCCGUGGGUCAGCCAGCUCCUGGAGGGCUGCAUAAUCCAGCCAGGCUGGAGGCCACGGAGAAGCAGCACCGGAGUCUGCAGCCUCAGCUUCUGGGAUGAGGCGGGGAGAGGGACUGGAGCUGCAAAGCCUGGAGCCCACGUGUCCUGAAGGCUGUGGCUGCCCUCUCCUUGCCAAGGGAAGGGAUUUUCAAAGUCAGAAUAAAAGGUCCAGCCAGCUUUGCUCCUGGACUGGAGGGCAUGGGGGUACAAAAAAGGUAGCCAAGACACACAAGGACAGCUCCAGGCCUUCCUCCUGGGACUCAAGCUUGAUGACAUCGCUUCCUCCUGUUCUGUCUAGUCACGAGUUCUUUUUCCAGAAAGUCUUUGGGGGAACCUCCCCUGGCCCUGAAAAGACACUCCUUCUGGACUCCUAAGGACACUGAACUUGGUCUCCACACUUUCCAGCUGUUCUGGGAGGACCAGAUCAUACAGCUACUCCCCAGUCCUGCCAUGGGCCAGAGAAGGCACUUUCACAGGACUCAGAAGAUUAAUCCCAGGAAUGGCUCUUGGUUUUCUCCAGGUGCAGGCUGCUUCUUUUUUUUUUUUUUUUUUUGUCUUUUCGAGACAGGGUUUCUCUGUGUUGUUUUGGCACCUUUCCUGGAUCUCAUUCUGUAGACCAGGCUGGCCUCGAACUCACAGAGAUCCUCCUGGCUCUGCCUCCCGAGUGCUGGGAUUAAAGGAGUGUGCCACCACCACCCGGCACAGGCUGCUUCUUACUCAUCCAUGUCUCCAACACUUAACCCAGAGCCUGGCAUCCCGUAGGUGCUCAAUUAAUGUCUGCUUGAAUAAUGUAACUUCUGGAUUCUGUGCCACAGGCAGGCAGGGAACCUCAGAUGUGGUUACCAAGGCUCCAUGGACCUCCUUUUGAAAGUCUCUGACUGGUCUGGAAUUUACCAAGUUUCUACCCUAUAGUCACCUAGUGCCACAGCUGCUAUUUUAGAAACUGACUGCCACCCAGGCUCUGCACAGGAGUGUCACUAUUAGGAGGUGUGGCCUUGUUGGAGGAAACGUGUCACCGUGGGGACAGGCUUUGAGGCCUCCUGUAUGCUCAAGCUAUGCCCAGUACACAGUGACUCCUUCUGCUGGCUGUAGAUCAAGAUGCGGAACUCUCAACUCCUUCUCCAGCACCAUGUCUGCCUGCCUGGUAACGCUCCUUGCUGUGAUAAUGGACUAAACAUCUGAAACUGUAAGCCAGCCCCAAUUAUGCUGUCUCUUCACAGCAAUAGAAACCCUAAGGUUGGGAGAAAAGGGAUUCUUUGGUAACACUUCCUGGUCACAGCCCAUCACUAAGGGAAGUCAGAAUAUAAACUUAUGCAAGCACUUGAAGCUGGGCGAUGGUGGCACACGCCUUUAAUCCCAGCACUUGGAAGGCAGAGCCAGGCGGAUCUCUGUGAGCUCAAGGCCAGCCUGGUCUACAGAGCGAGAUCCAGGACAGGCACCAAAACUACACAGAGAAACCCUGUCUCGGAAAAAAAAAAAUGGGGCUGGAGAGAUGGCUCAGUGGUUAAGAGCACUGACUGCUCUUCCAGAAGACCCAGGUUCAAUUCCCAGCACCCACAUGGCAGCUCACAACUGUCUGUAACUCCAGUACUAAGGGAUCCAACACCCUCACACAGACAUACGUGUAAGCAAAACACCAAUGCACAUAAAAUAAAAAUGAACAAAAUUAAAAAAAAAAAAAAGAACUUGAGGCAGAAGAUGGAGGAUUGCAGCAUGUUGGUUAAAACUCUGACUUACUCACCAGCUCGUGCUCAGCUAGCUUUUACUAUUUUAAAUAUUUACUUACUUACUUUAUAUAUAUGAAUGUUUUGCCUGCAUGUAGAUAUGUCCACCACAUGUGUGAGGUGACUACAGAGGCCAGAAGAGGGUGUCAGAACCUCUGGACCUGGAGCUACAGAAUGUUAUGAGCUGCCAUGUUGGAGCUUGGAGUCAAACCCAGGUCCUCUGCAAGAGGAGCCAGUGCUCUUAAUCACUGUGUCAUCUCUCCAGGCCCCUCAGCUCGAAUUUUUUUUUUUCAACUAGCUUUUUUAUACAGCCCAGGCUCACCUGUUUAGGGAUGAUGACACCACAGUGGCCUGGAGAAUUAAUAUGCCCUUGAUACCUCAAGAACAGUGUAGGUGUACUGCUGGUGCUGAAAGCGAAUUGCUUCUGGUGGUCCUUAUGGACAAGCACUGGGAAAAAGCUACCAGAAGACUCGUUAAUCUGGUCAAGUAAGGAAACCACAUCUGGUGCAGCAGCUGCAACUGGCAUUACUGCUUAGGUUUUCGGUAGUCAGCCAUCACCCUCCAUAGCCCAUCUGUCUCCUAUACACCACCGAAUAGAGUUAAAGGGUGAUGUGGUGGGAACCCCCACUCCUGCACCUUUCAGGUCCUUGAUGGUGGUACUAGUUUACAUAAUCCUUCUAAAGAUCUCUUUGCAUCACUGUUUUCCAGUGUCCCUUGAACACCAGCAUCUUCCACACUUAGGUCCGACCUGAGAGAAGGAGCAUCAAUGAAGCUCAUCGGAUGCGCUGGCACUCCUCUGCCACUGUGCAUCUUCCAGCACUAGUCAAGGACAUGGGUUCUGGGCUCUUCUGCUGUGGAGGAUUAGGUGUUGCAGUGGAUCUACGCUAGCAUUCCAAUUUCCCUAAGCCUCCAAAUCCUUUCACCAGCACUAAGCCAAAGGAUCAGGCAUCUCCAGCUCGUGCUCAGUAGGCCAUUUUUUGAUAAAUACUCAGGCAACAUAUUAAAUGAACUCCCUGCCCCCCCCCUUUUUUGAGACAGUCUAUGUAGUCCAGUGGUUCUCAACCUGUGGGUCGGGAUCCCUUUGGAGGUCGCUUAUCAGAUAUCCUGCAUGUCUGAUAUUUACAUUACGGUUCAUAACAGUAGUAAAAUUACGCUUAUGUUGAAAGACCCUAACCCUUCAGGCUUACACCCCCCUAAGCCCCAGGAGAAUAAGGAACUAAAAAGAAAACUACUUCCAAGGGCAACCCGACUCAGCCAUUAUUCAACCACCCCUGCCACAAUGUAAUAAUGUAAAGAGAUUUCUGUUAAGAGAUGUGCUCAACUGUGACUGGGAUAGUUGCAGGUGUUCCAGGAAGGACCACUGUGACCUUUGUGUAAACUCCAC